UCUUGUGCUCUGAUGCUCGACUCCAGAAUUCGUGGAAGAGCUGCUGUCGACAGUGGUCCGAGCCUGGACCCUAUUUUUCUUCUUUCUGUUUUUUCCUCCUUCCUAGCUGUUUUGUGGAGCUUAGCAAUUUUUGAAAGUUGCGGUUGGAGGUUCUCUUCUGUUUUUUGUUUCCCUCCUUCCAUGUGUGGUCUGUGGCGACUUGGUGAGCUGAUUCACGAACACCUUUCCCUCUGUUUCCGUUGUUGUUAUUGUGUGUGUUGCGGUCCCCAUCAGCAAUGGAGAGCUUGAGCGAUCGGCGGACUGUGUAUUGGUGCUCUGUGCUCUGUUCCAUUCUUGGGAGCUAUGUGUCGAGCUCGUCGCUGGAGCUCCGAUAGUCACAGUCUGUAGCCGUUGGAUUUUGUUCUUUUUAUCUUGUUGGAUUGCUUCCGCGGCAGCUGCUAGUAGGUGUGCAUUGCAGUGCAGUGUACUGCAUCGUAACAAGGAAGAAACCAACUUUUUUGUGGUGACUGGAGCCGCGAAAGUUUUCCUUCUUCCGUAUUGGAGCUUGCGGUGCAGGUUGCAGAUCUAGUUUUUUGUCAGUCAAGUUGGUGUAUUGCGGCGGCUGUGGAACAGUGUUUUUGUUUUUCAUUUUUUUCCUUCUCUAGAUCUAUGGCGCAAGCUGUGCAGUUCUCUUUUCUUCGUCGUCAUGGUGUGGUUGCGGUUGGCUGCACUUAGUUUCGAUUCCUCUUCUAAUUUCCGUUCAGCGAUUGCUGUGGCGGUUUCUUUUUCUGAUAUAAGUUGCCCUUGCAUCAAGAGAAGUUGGAACUAGGCGUGUGAGCAGCGACUAGUUGGGAAGUGAUGAGCUACUGCAUGGUCCAGCUCGUGGGGGUACUGCGGAACUUGGAUCAUGGUCUGACAUUUGGCAGUUCGAGGGUGUUCCUCUUCUAUGCUUGCGGUCUCAAUGGCGGUGGUGGGUGAUUCCACGUUGUGGAGCUAGGAGGUGAAGGCUCUUGUGCUACUCCCUCAAGCGAUUCCAAGUGGAGUGUUGCUGGUGUUGGCAUGGGGUUUCAGUCGAGAUUCAGUGUGUUUCCACACACCCAUACUUCAAGCUCAAGGGUGUAUUCACAAGCGGCGAUUAGCUGGUUGUAACAUCCUCUGUUUUUGCAAAGGUACAGACUUGCAAGGCAAAAAAAUUUGAAGCAUCUUUUAAAAGAUCUCCCAUCACCGGAGCUCAGGGCGAUUGAAGCUGUAGUUGUCGUGAUAAUUUAGGAGCGAUUGAUUGUAGUUUGAACUUGGCAUUCCGGCCAAAGUUUGGGGCUUGUUACUUAGAAGUUAGAAGACAGGAGGAGAAUUAGAAUUAAGAGGGCAGAUUUAUACUAUCGGAUCCAUCGAAAUCAACCACCGUCUGCUUCUGCCUAAUAGCAGACGUUCAAAGGUGAGAGCCCUGGAGUUUAUUUAGAAGGCUAUCAUCACCUUGGAUUUACACCAAGUGGAAGUUCAGCCAAGGAUCAUCAAGAAGAAUCCAAAUUAAUCAAUGAGAGAAUGGCAAUUCACAAGUGGUGAAUUGCACAUCUCAAUUGAGUUAGUUCCUUUUAAUAAAAUCUGACUUGUAUUUGGACUCUA